UACAGAGGGGGCAAGCGUUGUUCGGAAUUACUGGGCGUAAAGGGCGCGUAGGCGGCCUGCUAAGUCGAACGUGAAAUCCCUGGGCUCAACCCAGGAACUGCGUCCGAUACUGGUUGGCUUGAAUCCGGGAGAGGGACGUGGAAUUCCAGGUGUAGCGGUGAAAUGCGUAGAUAUCUGGAGGAACACCGGUGGCGAAGGCGGCAUCCUGGACCGAGAUUGACGCUGAGGCGCGAAAGCCAGGGGAGCAAACGGG
rnacentral:rRNA from 1 species